AUGAGAGUGUAAAAAUACAGCACACAGUGCUAGUCACAAGCAGUCAGAAGCCCUUACUGGAUGCCCAAGGAGGCUGAGGCUGCCUUUACCUGCUGUAAACAUUCCAGGCACAGCUGCCACGGGACAUUUGGUCCCCUGGGUGUCUCCUGAGCAGUCACGUUGAAGUUGCUCCAUUUUGCUUAAACUGAGAAAUAUUAGGCCAGAGAGAGAAGCUGAACCUGUGGCUGAUGGCUUUGUUUGACACUCUUGUGUGAGAAUCCAGAUCCUCCUUCCUUCAGGGAGUAGGCAGCUUAGCAUGAAUUUGCACAUCUGCAUAGCAAAGGCUGCUCUAGCCUGCUGUCAGCCGAGCCAGCCUCAGAGCUGAAAACAUUGUAGCCUCCCUUGUUUGGCAUUGCUGGUGAGCUAAUUAGCCUUGCAGAUAAGCCUAACUAGCUGGGACCAGCUACACUCUGCUAGAGAUCUAUGGCUUUCAGGAACUCCUGUCUUUACAUACCUGGUAAUUACAGCUGUGGAAGCACCAGCUGGGUACAGCUCUUCGCCCUCUUCUACUGCAGACUGAACUCAUGGCCCUCAUCCCUUGAGAAAACUCUCAUCUUCAACAAAUUGCUCUCAGAUUUUGGACUUCCCAUUUCCGUGGUUUGUAAGGCUGAACAGAAAGAACCGAGCAAAAAGAAGCUGGAUGACGUAAAAGACUAUUUGCUCCCACUAUAAAGAACACCAGGCUAGGGAGGCAAUGAACUUGUGAGGUUUCCUGAGGAAACUACCUUGCCAUAGCAACCAAAGGCUUUUUAGAGCUAACAGAGGAAAAGGUUGAUUCUUGACAUCUGGGGUACAGCUCCAAUCACCCUUCUCAUGCCUCUACACCAAAGCUCUAGAUCAUUCAGCUCUAGAAUUCAUGUUUCUAUUUGAUUUAAAAUCUUAGAAGAAACUUAAAAUUGCCUACAGAAGGCAAAACAAUAGUGACACCUGAACAGCAAUGGCUUUCUCCCGGAUUUCCAGGAGGCAAUGCAGUAGAUGUGAGAUCAUCAGAACCAUGCCACUGCAGUUCUUCCCACCCUGGGAACUACCAAGUACCUUUGCCAUGGAGCACUGAUAGGAGCACAGAGAUGCAGCUGAGAUUUAGCUAAUGGCAGACAAUGUUCCAAAUGAAGACAAAGAAUGCUCCUGCAUCCUCUCAGUAGUCUUUUUGUUUUCACUCCACAAAUGCAUGAAAGAGCUGUUCAUUGUACUGGUGCUGUGCCAAGGAAGAAAGUAAUUCAUGGUUUUGACCUUCAGUGGAUUGGACCAAAAUACUGAUGCUAAAUCUCUCCUUCACCACAUGACUGACCUCCCACGUGCUACCCAGGAAACCCUGAAUCUUCACAUUGUAUUUUUCUAUUUAGUUCAGGCACAGAAGAAAUACUGCAGAGCUUGUUCCUAGUUGAAAAUUAUUGGUGAAAAAUGUUGCUUUCUCUACCAGGUCUGAUUAAAUGGGAUUAGGUUACUAAGAAGCUGACAAAGGAAAAAAUAAAGCUUUAUGCCACAUUUCCA
rnacentral:lncRNA from 1 species